rnacentral:sRNA from 1 species
AGCAGCCGCGGUAAUUCCAGCUCCAAUAGCGUAUAUUAAAGUUGUUGCAGUUAAAAAGCUCGUAGUUGAACUUCGGGGUUUACCCAUUGGUCAGGCUUAAUUGUCUGUACUGGUGAGAUAAAUCUCUACCUUCUGAGGAACUUUCAUGCCAUUUAUUUGGUGUGAUUGGAAAUCAGGACUAUUACUUUGAAAAAUUAGAGUGUUUAAAGCAGGCUAAAGUCUGAAUACAUUAGCAUGGAAUAAUGAAAUAGGACGGAUUGAUUCUAUUUCGUUGGUUUCUAGGAUCACCGUAAUGAUUAAUAGGGAUAGUUGGGGGCAUUAGUAUUCAAUUGUCAGAGGUGAAAUUCUUGGAUUUAUUGAAGACUAACUACUGCGAAAGCAUUUGCCAAGGAUGUUUUCAUUAAUCAAGAACGAAAGUUAGGGGAUCGAAGACGAUCAGAUACCGUCGUAGUCUUAACCAUAAACUAUGCCGACUAGGGAUCGG